AAGAAACAAGAAUAAUGAUGAGAUCUUAAAUGAACACUCCCAUCUAUGAGCUAACCUGAUUAGCAACAACGUGGAAUCAGUUCCACUAAAUUAAACAAAAACUUAACCCACUCGAUUAAACCCCCAAUUUUCUCCUUCACAGCAAGCUUCACUCACUCUCUCCAAACCCUAGAUCCAAUCGCCCCACCCCCUCCCUCCCAUGGCUGCCUCAAAGAAAUCUGGUGGCCCCCGCGACAUGCUAGAAUCCAUGUACUCAGUGAUCGCUCUAGUCUUCAUUUUAGUAGCCUGCGUCGAACUCUGCGACGCCGCCGCCGUCGUCGACGUCUACCGUCUGAUCCAAUACGACAUGUCCGGUUCCCCUUUCGGAUCUCGCUUGGCCUCCCUCAACCACCAUGCCGCCUCCUUGCAUUUCCCUCCCGGCGCCGAUCUUUCCCGAACCGUCCUCAUCAUCCCUCUUCGUGAAUUGAACAUCACUUUCGUUCGAGAAUAUAUUAAUCAGAAAAAGCCGUUAGGAGGGUUGUUAUUUUUGCUUCCAGAAGUAUUUAGAUUUGAAAAUGGAGGGAAUAAGCAAAUUCAUGAGAAAGAGAAAAUGAAAAAUGUAUUGGCGGAGCUUGAACAGUUACUUAUACAUGCAAAUAUACCUUAUCCUGUCUAUUUUGCUUUUGAGAAUGAUGAAAUUGAGACUGUGCUGGCUGACAUCAAGAAGAAUGAUGCAAUUGGUCAGCCUGCUACUGCAACUACUGGCGGAUACAAGCUUGUUAUCCCAACACCAGAACCUAAGAAAGUUGCAUCUCCCACCAUCACAAAUAUUCAGGGGUGGCUGGCUGGAUUGAAAGCUGAUGGAGAGGCAAAUCAACUUCCAACCAUUGCUAUUGUUGCAUCUUAUGAUACUUUUGGGGUUGCUCCUGCACUAUCAGUGGGAAGUGACAGCAAUGGAAGUGGCAUUGUGGCACUUCUUGAAAUAGCUAGGUUAUUCUCUCUUCUCUACUCAAAUCCUAAGACAAGAGGAAGGUACAAUUUACUUUUUGGCCUGACAUCUGGUGGACCAUAUAACUACAAUGGAACUCAGAAGUGGCUUCGGAGUUUUGAUCAACGGUUACGUGAGAGUAUUGACUAUGCUAUUUGUUUAAAUAGUAUUGGUUCUUGGGAUAAUGAGUUGUGGAUUCAUGUGUCAAAGCCUCCAGAGAAUGCCUACAUCAAGCAAAUUUUUGAGGGUUUCUCUAAUGUAGCAGAGGAGUUGGACCUCAAAGUUGGUCUAAAGCACAAGAAAAUAAACAUCUCCAAUCCUCGAGUAGCUUGGGAGCAUGAACAGUUCUCAAGGCUGAGAGUCACUGCUGCCACUCUUUCUGAACUCUCCGUUGCUCCUGACAUCCUAGAAGGCACUGGAGGUCUGUUUGAUAGCAGGCAAUUUGUGAAUGAAACUGCAAUUAUUAGAGGUGUGAAGUUAGUCGCUGAAAGUCUUGCGGUAAGGUUAAACUAUUUAGGCAUAUCUAUGGCCACCAGGGAAAAAAUGUCCAAAUUUUUGCAGAUGACAGUAGUUUGGCUGUCAAUCCUGCUUAUGUUCGAUCUUGGCUGGAUCUUUUGUCACAAACACCUCGAGUGGCUCCAUUUCUUUCAAAGAAUGACCCUUUUGUCAUGGCAUUGAAAAAGGAAUUAGUUGAUCAUACUGAUGAAGUGAAUGUGCAACAUGAAAAUCUUGAAGGGAUGUUCACUUUUUACGAUUCAACUAGUGCUAGACUUAACAUAUAUCAGGUUGCUAGUGUAACAUUUGACUUGCUGUUGCUACUUGUGUUGGGAUCGUAUUUGAUAGUGCUCUUCAGUUUUCUUGUCAUCACAACCAGGGGUCUUGAUGAUCUAAUCAGUUUAUUUCGACGACCUCCUUCUCGAAAGGUGAAAACAGCUUGAUAGCUGCAGCGGCAUUGUAUGCAAAUGCCUUCCCUGAUGUAGCUUAAACCGAAAUUCCCAUGAGGUUCCGUAGUGGUUUUGCGCUAAUGUUUUUGUUAGUUUUAGUAUCACGAGGGAUCAUUUUAAAUGCUGGUCCAAAGAAGAUUUUUGUAAUUUAUUUUUCCAAAAUGAGAUCAGUCAAGUCAAGGUGCGAGAAAAAAUUUUGCUCAGCUCCAGUAUUGUACACUGCAGUUAUAUAGCAGAGAAUAAUAUGUAGGGUCCAAGCACCAACCAAAAAGUUGAUCCUACUUAUGGAGAUUAGGGUUGAUGGUAUUGAAAAUUUGAUCAGGUGACAGGUGCUUUGCUCAAUGCAAUCGUGGGAAUCUGGUUCACAGUUGCAGAAUCAAACUGAAAUUCUUCUGGAAAAGAGAUUAAAAUUACAAACUUCCUUUUCGAAAAGGAAAAUACUAGUGCAUUGUAAGGAUGCCUAUGCAUGAAAUGCUAACAUGCUCUCAUUUUCUGGUGUU